rnacentral:misc_RNA from 1 species
GGGUAUGUGGCUGCAAUCAGAAAUUUUAAUGGUCAUGCUAUAAUCUUUUUUUUUUGUUUCACUGUUUUUGAAGAAUUAACCCUUUCUAUUACAAUCGCCAUAUAUAAUCUGCUCUCCUGUCUCCUCCUUUCCUUUGAAUAAACUGUGCUUUUCUAUGUAUCUAGUAAAAAUUUUCUGUUCAUCGCGUCUUCUUAUUCAAGUAAAUAUGCAUGUAAUUUGCUUUUGGUUAUUGAUAACUUUUUUUUUUUUUUAAUUCUAACAGGAAUUAGGAAGCAAUCUUUAAUUAGUUAAUAAUUUUGAUUUUGAUUCUUGAUGCAUAGUAGAAUACUCAAGAUGACAAAUCUUGCAAGUGAAGCAAAUCACGAAAUUGAGCUGGCGGAGGAAGACAAAGAAGAGAGGGAGAGUGCUGCCUGCAAUGUUUCAGAGCAACCAAACUCAAAUUUUCUUGUAGAGCUGAACCUCCUGAUUAUGGUUCUUUCAUUAUUUUCUUUAUCAUCAGGAGAGUGCUUAAAUUGCAGGCAGAAUGAUAUAAAGAGUAUCAAAGAUUAUGAACAUGAAGCAAAGGCCAGGAUAUCAAGAUUACAAACCAGAAGACAAGAAAUACACCAAGUUAAGCAUCUGGGAAAACAAGCGCAGAGAUUUCAACCAGCCAUAAAGGAUUGCAGGCAUGGUAGAAAAAUGUAAAAAGAACGAUACCAUGAAGAAGGAAAAGAAAAAAAAGGCAGUGUUGCCUGAAGGAUUUGAAGUAGCUCAAACAUUAUUGUGAGACUCUACUUUAAUACCUCAAUAGUAGUAACAUCAUUGUGAUUACCAAUCCUAUAGUAAACAAGCACAAACGUUAUUUAUUUAGAUUUCUAAGACUAUUAAAUAUAAGACUUCUUCGGUAUUAUCC